UUUUGCUAGUACAUGUUUGGAGUACAUAAUGAUUACAUUCCUCAUGGGGUGUUGGUACAUAUACAUAAUGCAUCUUAAUUCUUUUUUCAUGUCCUUUCCUUUCCUUUCCUCCCUUCUCCCUUCACUUCUUUGUUCCUUUCCCUGCCGCAGACCAGCUGCAGUCGAUGUAGGGUAGGAAGGGGAGAUGUCCUGGGCCGGCGAUGAGAAAAGAACCUUCACAAGCAAUGUUCAGGUUCCCUCUGAGAAGUCUCAGGGUCUGAUUUAUUUUUAUAUCAUUAAGCAAUAGCGAAGAGGCAUUGGGCGGAACAUGUUGCCUUAGCAAUAUCUGAUGAGGUAAAGGUUAUUUUUGUUAAACAGUAUAUUUUUUCUAAGCUGAUUCAUUUCAUUGAACAUCAUGAAUACAUUUCUUAAAAAUUACAAUUGUCCCCUUAUUUCCCCAUACCUAAGCAGAACAGAAAGUAUUGUCCCAUACCUGAGCAGAACAGAAAGUAUUUUCCCAUACCUGAGCAGAACAGAAAGUAACUCAAUCAAAUUACAUGUCAAACUUGUGGUCACCAGCCAGCCCUUGAGAAACUGCACAAUGGUUAUAGAGAAGUUCAUUUGACAAAUAUGGUGUCUUUGCAUGGAAAUCUACAUGAGAGUGAAGAUGCCAAGACGGCCUCCUGGUGGGUUACCUUGGUAACCCCUUGUGUCAUGUUUUAGAACAUCCCAUGGCUGCAGCUUUAUUUCUAUUUGCAUGCACUUCAGUCAGCUAACUGUGGAUUAUGAAGGCCUAUUGUAUAAUCAACCUUUAUUUCUUGCAAAAUAAAAAACCAAAUAUUUAAAAUUACUGUUUAAUGCCACUCACAUUUGGUACUGCAGAUAGGAAGACUUUGUCCACUUAUUUAUUUUAUAAACUUAUUCUGAAAUGCCAUAUGAUUUAAUACACAAAAUAGAAUACAGAUAAUAUAACUGUGUGACUUGAUCUCAUCUUUGAAAAACAUGUCAUUUUAUAAUCUGUCAAUGAUGGUCAUGUGAGGCUUUUUUUCAUAAAAUUUUUUUUGGGGGGGGCACCGGGGAUCAAACUUGGGUCCUUGUGCUUGUGCAGCAGGCUGUGAAACCACUGAGCUAAAUCCCUGGCCCUUCAAUAAAACUUUUGACAUGUCAAUUUAUGUAACAUGGUAGGAAUUAAAGAUUAUUUGAUUAAUCAAAUGCAAAUUUUGAACACCAUCCAAUCAAAUAUUAAAAAUGUUUUUAUAUUUCACAUUUUAAAAGUCAUAUACUUAUAGUUACAUUUUUAAAAAUUAGUCAUCUAAUUCCUUUUGCAUAUGAUCAAGAUACUUUAAUACGCAUACUUGUGGAAAAUAAUUUACAUUGUAUUCAUCUUCAAAGACAGAGUUUUGCGGUGUUAUGAAAGGCAAGAAAUAUAGAAAGCUUGAAAUUUGAGCAAAAUUUUAUACAAAGUUAGCAAUAAAGCUGAAAUGAAAAGUAAUCUCCUCCAAGAUACCAAUAUAUCUUAGAUAUCAGAGUGAGAGUAAAGUAUUGCUUUUUUCAAGAAGAAAAGUAUCAUGAUGCAUGUUUCAGUCUGUGAAAUAUUUUCUCUCUCUCUCUGUAAAGUUUGGCAUACUAUGAUCAUUUACAACAUUCUGAGGAGAAUACUCUACCAUAGAUUAGUGACUUUCCUCUGUUUGACCCAGAUCCACUAUUGCCUUGAAAUUAAUAACCUCUUUCUAAGAAAGAGUCUCUGAAGAGUUUUUACUGAAUAAUUUUGAAUACCACUGUAAAUUGAGCUCUCUUUCCCUCUUCUGUUCCUUAGGGGCACUGGGAGAGCCCUUCAAUAUGUGCAGGAUAAUUCAAUGGCUCUUUUAUAGUGUUUUUUUCUAGGCUCAAUUAUCCUUACUGUGGUAUACCAUUGCUUAGGAUUUGAGAAAAAUGAUCAUCAAUUUUCUAUUUACAAAAUCCUCCCCCAUCCUAAGAGUACAGAAUUCUAUGGUACAGCGAAUCCAAUAAGGAUUCCUGUGUCUGAAUAUCAUCCUUUGAUGAAUCUUCAUAAAGCAAAGAGCUACCUUUAGAAGUGAGUUUGUAAUGGACAGUUUAAUAUGAAAUAAGGGCCUCUAUUAUGAGAUGAUGUUUUUUAAACUCCAAAGAGUAGUGAAACUAGUUUGAUAUCUUACUUUCUGGAGUAAAAAGCUUUUGAAGUGAAUAAUUAAAAUUUGGAAGGACUGGUACCUAGACUAACCUAAUUUUGAUAGCCUCAUUCAAAUGCUUAAUGGUAGAUGAAGUAUUAAAACACAAAUUUAUCUAAUACAAGUCUUGAUCUUAAAACACAGCUAAAGUCUUCUCCAAACUUGAGCUUUUCAUAAUAUCUGUAAUUGCAUCUCAUACUUGGUUUAGUUUAGUAGUUUCCCAUGCUUGCAUGCCAAAGACUCUCUUUGCUCCUAUUAUUAUUACAGUACUGUUAACUAUCUCUAAAUAUCUGGUAUAAUAGAUUGUCUCUGGUUUUGAAGAGCCAUAAUUGAGAGUAUUUAGCACAUUUAAUCAAACAUGAGUUUUCAUUUAAAAUAUUUGAGAUGGAUGGAUUACUUAAAAACAUCUUUCCCAGGUUAUGUCACCUUGUGAGCCAAUAUUGUUCUAUGCAAAUGUCCUCUCAUUUUGAUUUUUUCACAACUUUAUUGUGCCAUAAGUUGCUUACUAUAAAUUGUACAUAUUAAAAGUGUAUGAUUUGAUAAGAUUUGACAUAUGAAUACAUCUGUGAAACUAUCACCUCAAUCAAGUUAGUGAUCAUAUUUAUCGAACCCAAGUUUUCUCGUACCUCUUUGCAAUUCCCGCCCCCGCCUCCCGUUCUUCUGUGGGUCAGAUCUACUGUCUGUCGCUAUAGACUAGUUUGCAAUUCCUAGAGUUUCUACAAAUGCAUUUAUACGUAUAUAUUUUUCUUUUUUUUUCAGUAGUACACAUUUGCCACACAUAAUGAUCACAUUCAUCAUGGAGAACUUGUCCAUGUAAAUAAUAUAUUAAUUUUUUCCAUUCACCUCCCCUCCCUUCAACCCUUCUUUCCUUCCCAACUUAUAAAAGCUCUGUUUCAAUUUUUUGUAUCAUUUUUUUGUUGUUGUUUUUUGUUUUGUUUUGUUUUGGGGGUUUCUUUUGGUACCGGGGAUCAAACUCGGGUCCUUCUGCUUGGGAGACAGGCGGCGGAAUCACUGAGCUAAAUCCCCAGCUGGUCCUGUACCAUUCUUUUAAAAUAAAUCACUUUUACUUUCUUUCAUUUCCUUUUCCCUCCUCCCUUAUUCUCCUCAUUUGAACGAUUUCUUCCUUACUUCCCAACAUCUAUCUUGUUUUUUUCUCCUUACUUACACUUUGGGUUUCUCAUACAAGAUAAAUAAUGUGAUAUUUAAACUUGUGGGUGUGAUUUAUUCUACUUAAGAUUAUGGUCUUGAGAUGCAGCCAUUUACCUAAAAAUGUAUCAAGUUUAUACAUCUUUAUGGCAAAAUAGUACUCCAUUGUAUACAAAUACCACAUUUUCUUUACCCAUUCAUGUGUUGAUGGUCAUAUAGGCUGUUUCUAGCCUCACCAGCAUUUGUUAUUGGUUGAUUUCUUGAUGAUAACCAGGUUUUCUUUCUUGAAAUGAAAUUUUAUUAUUGUUUUAAUUUGCAUUUCUCAAUGAGUGAUGUUGAACAUUUUUUAUGUAUUUAUUUGUUUUUUGUACUUCUUCAUUACCUAUACAUUUUUGUCUAGCUUUUUCUAUACAUCAUGAUUAUUUUGAGAUUUAUCCAUGGUGAAGUGUGUAUCAGUAGUUCUCUUACUGUAGUAUUUUAUUGUAUGGAAUUUAUUUAUCCAUACACCUGAUAACUGACAUUUAUAGUACCAAAUCCUCAUGGUGAAUGUAAUCAGUAUAUAUAUAGUAUAAUCAUGUGCUAAUAAAAAUAAAAGUUACAAAGUAAGUAAAUAAACCAAAUAAAACUGUUAUGAG
rnacentral:lncRNA from 1 species